rnacentral:rRNA from 1 species
AUACGAAGGGGGCUAGCGUUGUUCGGAAUAACUGGGCGUAAAGCGCACGUAGGCGGAAUGUUAAGUUAGAGGUGAAAUCCCAGGGCUCAACCCUGGAACUGCCUUUAAUACUGGCAAUCUAGAGAUCGAGAGAGGUGAGUGGAAUUCCGAGUGUAGAGGUGAAAUUCGUAGAUAUUCGGAGGAACACCAGUGGCGAAGGCGGCUCACUGGCUCGAUACUGACGCUGAGGUGCGAAAGCGAGGGGAGCAAACAGGAUUAGAUACCCGAGUAGUCC